AAUAUUGGACAAUGGGCGCAAGCCUGAUCCAGCCAUGCCGCGUGAGUGAUGAAGGCCCUAGGGUUGUAAAGCUCUUUCGGCGGGGCAGAUAAUGACGGUACCCGCAGAAGAAGCCCCGGCUAACUUCGUGCCAGCAGCCGCGGUAAUACGAAGGGGGCUAGCGUUGCUCGGAGUCACUGGGCGUAAAGCGCACGUAGGCGGCUUCUUAAGUCAGGGGUGAAAUCCUGGAGCUCAACUCCAGAACUGCCUUUGAUACUGAGGAGCUCGAGUCCGGGAGAGGUGAGUGGAACUCCGAGUGUAGAGGUGAAAUUCGUAGAUAUUCGGAAGAACACCAGUGGCGAAGGCGGCUCACUGGCCCGGUACUGACGCUGAGGUGCGAAAGCGUGGGGAGCAAACAGG
rnacentral:rRNA from 1 species